rnacentral:rRNA from 1 species
AUUGAACGCUGGCGGCAGGCCUAACACAUGCAAGUCGAACGAGUGGCGGACGGGUGAGUAAUGUCUGGGAAACUGCCUGAUGGAGGGGGAUAACUACUGGAAACGGUAGCUAAUACCGCAUACCAUCGGAUGUGCCCAGAUGGGAUUAGCUAGUAGGUGGGGUAAAGGCUAACCUAGGCGACGAUCCCUAGCUGGUCUGAGAGGAUGACCAUCCCCACUGGAACUGGGACAGUGUCCAGCCUCCACCAAGAACCAUCAUUACAUAAUAUUGCGCAAUUGGCGCAAGCCUGAUCCAGCCAUGCCGCGUGUAUGAAGAGUCCCUUCGGGUUUUAAAGUACUUUCAGCGGGGAGGCGUUACCCGCAGAAGAAGCACCGGCUAACUCCGUGCCAGCCGCCGCGGUAAUAC